AACCUGGUUGAUCCUGCCAGUAGUCAUAUGCUUGUCUCAAAGACUAAGCCAUGCAUGUCUAAGUAUAAGUAUUAUACAGCGAAACUGCGAAUGGCUCAUUAAAACAGUUAUAAUUUAUUUGAUAAUCGAAUUUACAUGGAUAACCGUGGUAAUUCUAGAGCUAAUACAUGCUGGUAGGCCCGACUUUUUGGAAGGGCGGUAUUUAUUAGAUAACAAACCAAUAUUCCUCUGGUCUAUUGUGGUGAAUCGUAAUAACUGAUCGAAUCGCAAGGUUUUUAACCGCGAUAAGGUCAUUCAAGUUUCUGCCCCAUCAGCUUUCGAUGGUAGUGUAUUGGACCUAACCCUGGC
rnacentral:rRNA from 1 species